UACGAAGGGGGCUAGCGUUGCUCGGAAUCACUGGGCGUAAAGCGCACGUAGGCGGAUUGCUAAGUCAGGGGUGAAAUCCUGGAGCUCAACUCCAGAACUGCCUUUGAUACUGGCGACCUUGAGUCCGGGAGAGGUGAGUGGAACUGCGAGUGUAGAGGUGAAAUUCGUAGAUAUUCGCAAGAACACCAGUGGCGGAAGGCGGCUCACUGGCCCGGUACUGACGCUGAGGUG
rnacentral:rRNA from 1 species